CUUGGGCAGGCUGGGACUGGCCAGGACACCACAGGGUUGCUAGGUGACAGACAACAGCGUGCCGAGCAGCUCCGGGGUGCACUGUGCCUCCUCCCAGGGAGGUUCCUCUCCGUGCCCCCCGGCCAUCACAGCGCAGGCAGCUGAGCCCGGCUGCAUCCCGCUUGGGACGUUCACUCUGAAGCGUAAUGAGGACCUUGAGCCUUCUGGAGCAGAGCCCUGCAACCCGGGGCACCCCAUCCCUGUCCCCCCCCCAGCAGCGCAGUGCUGGGACAUAUGGCAGAGCCUGCAGUGCCUCUCCUGACACUGUCGAUGUCCGUGGGACAGCCGUGACUCCCGCUGAGGGCAGAGCUCCGGCUGCAGAUCCCAGCUUGGGAGGCUCCAGAUUUGCUGCUCCCCACGCAAGGAUGGUGGAACGCGGAGCGUGGAGCUGCUGGGGGCCACAGUGGGGCAGCAGGAGCAGCUCCAGCUCUGUGUGCACCGAGGAUGUGGCUGCCAGGUGUUGGGAGGGCACAGUGGGGACCUCCGAGGAGGAGGAGGAGGAGGAUGGCAGCGGGCAGGAUGGGGCCCCGCUCCCGUGGCAGUGCCCCUGGCAGGACAUGUCCCCAGGGCUGAUGAGGAGGGGGAGUCUGGAGUCGCUGGGAGCCAGGAUAUCCAGGCUGAGCCAGAGUGGGGCUGUGACCCCCUGCCCGGCCCCCUCCGGGCACCCAGCGCAGGGCAGGGGGGAUGCAUCCCACUGGGGCUCAAGCUCCAGGGCAAAGCCCUCAGUCACCACUGUGCAUGGUGAGGAUGGGGACGCUGGACAUCUCCGGAGACCCUCAGGCAGCUCAGCCAGCAGGAGCAGGGCCAGGGCCAUGGGACACUGCAGAUGGCAGGAGCCACCAGCACGCCGGGGGUGGCAUGGAGGGGACGUCACCCUCACUGCAGAGAAGGAAGGAGAUGGCGACGGGCGGAGGAGAGCUCUCUGCACCAAAGCAGCAGUGGGACCCACCAGGAGAUGCAGCCCCCGGGCAGAGGGGCGGCACGAGGUGUCCUGCCCAGGGCAUGCAGCCAAGCCCCGGUGGCAGCGCUGGAAGCAGAAGGCCGUCCUGUCCCAUAGGCUGGCAGCGCUGCGCCAGGCCCUGAGGAGCAGCCAGGAGGGGAUGCAGGAGCCAGGAGCUGGAGCUCAGGGCAUGCAGAGCGAUGGGGAUGGGGCCAGGUGUGUGCUGUGACCCCGCUCUGGGGUCCUAUGGGCAAUGGGGGAGUUCUGGGGUGUCCCACUGGGUGAUGCUCUCCUCUCUGCAGGGCACGUGCGUGGGAUUGUGUGGAUGUGGAGGAGGUGGUGAGCACUCUGAGAUGGGCAAAGGGGGGUGGCAGAGGGACAGGUUGGGGGGCAGCAGGGCAGGGGCUGGGCUGGCCAUGCCAUAAGAAGGGAGGAAGGAGUGGGAGGGAGGCAGAAGGGGGGGUCCCUGUCUCAGCAGGUGCAGAAGGGCUGCGCUGAACGCCCAGGGAAGGUGAGGAGGAAAACGUUGGAUCUCAGAGAAGAGAAGAGGGAGCUGCAGGAGAGGCUCUGUGGGUUGGAGCUCCGGAUGCGCUCCAUGCUGCGGCAGAGGCAGGAGGCCCUGGGGCAGCUGCGGGCAGUGCUGCAGAAGGAGAGGAUGGCCACACUCAGGCGGCUGCAGGAGAGCCUGGAGAAGGUGAAUGGGACCAUCUGUGUCUGUCAGAACUGUCACCCAGAGGAGCUGGCAGCCCCAGGAGCCCUGAAGGAGCCACUGACCCCAGAGAGAGCCCUGCGGGAGGCAGCGACGUGUGUGUGGGAUCCAGCCCGGCCACCAUCUCCUUCCCCUUCUACACCUGGGUUGAGCCAUGCUACAGCAACACCACACGGCGCUGGGGGUCCUGCACCACGUCCAGCGCUGCCUGCGGGAGCUGCAAGUAGAGGACCUCGGUGUGCUGGGAGCAGAGCUGGGCACCACAGCAAAUGAGGAGAGGUUCCUGAUGCCACCUCUUGACAUUCCUCCAAGCCCCAACAGGAACAAGCUCGCUGCUGCGACCAGGACUCGAGAUGAAGCAUGGAGGUGGUGAUGCAUCCCUCUACCUCCCUAUGCAUACCCAGGUCGACCAGUUGUGAAGCUGCUGAACGGGUCCCACGGAAUUUCCCAUGUAGAAGCUUCUCUUAGGUCCUGGCUGGGCUCCUUCCAAGGGCUGGGGACCGCGGGACAGCAUUUUGGGUGCGAUGGGUGAGGUCACGUGCCUCCACCAGGCUGCUGUCCAAGGUCCUGCCGGGAGAACCUGGAUUCCCAACCAGCAUCUUUGCUCCUCACACUCAUUUAGGAGCUUGGAAUGGAGAGGUCCAUGCUGCAGGGGUGGUCGCUCAGUGGGGUGGGAAUGAAGGUUUUGGGUUGGGGUGAGAUAUGGAGAAGUAGAUGGGGAGUAAGGGCUGGGGGAAAUCUCGUGCCUUCCCAGGUCUGGUUGGCUGGGCCACGCACAUCAGGAGUGCUUUGGGAUGGCUGUGGGCAGAAACACUUCAGGAAAAAAAGAAGUUUAAAAAUGAGGAAUUGUUCUACUUAGGAGCUCUCAAAUAAUUUUAAAGAGGAGAAACCUAUUUCUCAGUCUUCACACAUCUCAAUGGAGAAAAUGCUGUUUUUAAUUUGCAGGAGAAUGCCCAAGGAGAGUUUCUCUGCAUGCGAGGGGGGAAAUGAGAAUUUCAUGCAGUACUGAUUGCUGCACUUCCUUGCUGGAGGAGGCAGGGAGUGAAAAUGGAAAUCUUUGUCUGCUUUCUUCCCAAUCAAAAUAAAAAUGUUCCUCAUUAUAUUUUUCUGGACUGGGGAGAUUUCUGAAUUUACUUCUGAUGCACAGCUCUGUUUGUAAGCUCCCUUUAGGUAGUGGAAGGCCACAGUGAGGUCUUCCCAGGUCCUUCUCUUCACCAGGAUACCCAAAAAUGUGAUUUUUCUGCCUUACCUCAUGCUUGCAACCUUUGGGAUGCU
ensembl:lncRNA